rnacentral:tRNA from 1 species
AAGGGGGUAGUUUAAUAGAAAAUAUAAGGUUGUCGACCUUUUGAUGUCUUUUGAGACUUCCCUUU